GUGAGUCAUCGAAUCUUUGAACGCACCUUGCACCCUUUGGCAUUCCAAGGGUAUGCCUGUUUGAGUAUCAUGAAAUUCUCAACUCUCCUCAGAUUCCAUCUGUAGGGUGAGCUUGGACUUGGAGGUUUCUGCCGGUGUUUGCCGGCUCCUCUCGAAAUCAUUAGCUUUGAGUUGAUCUUGAUGGCUUGACCGGUGUGAUAAACAUCUACGCCGAUUCAUGCUGUCCUGAGCGACGACGUCGGAGACGCUCUGGCUUAUAACCGUCUUCACCGAAGGACAACACCCUGAACUUUUGAUCUCAAAUCAGGUAGGACUACCCGCUGAACUUAAGCAUAUCAAUAAGCGGAGG
rnacentral:rRNA from 1 species